GGGGUGAACUCCCGUUGUUCAGUCCAGCUCCUGCCCACCUAGCAGUUCGAAAGCCUGCCAAAGUGCAAGUAGAUAAAUAGGUACCGCUCCUGCAGGAAGGUAAACGGCGUUUCCAUGCACUGCUCUGGUUCGCCAGAAGCGGCUUAGUCAUGCUGGCCACAUGACCCGGAAGCUGUCUGUGGACAAACUCCCUCGGCCUAUAGAGCAAGAUGAGCACGCAACCCCAGAGUCGUCCAUGUCUGGACCUAACGGUCAGGGGUACCUUUACCUUUACCUAAGGUAUCAAGAUUUAACCCUGCUCAUAAACUGAUGAUCAAGGAUUAAAUCUUGUUCAGUUUCCAGGAUUUUAUGCAAACAUUUUGCAGAUUCAGGAAAGGGUUUACAUGGAAACCCCUGCUAAAAGGAAGGUUUAUUCCUUUUGUUUAAGCAGGGGGUUCCAACGCACACCCCUUUCUUAUUCAGGAGGGUAUUUGCAUUGGAAUCGUGCUUAAAAUGUGAAGAGCUGUCAAAUGGCUCUGUUGGGAACAGACAUGUGCAGCCCAAACAAAUAUUUAACCUCCCUCUUGACAGCUGCCAAGCAGGGGUUAAAUUCUGUUAAAUUCUUCAGGAGGAUGGGAGAAAGCUGUGCUUUGCCAACCCUAUGAUUGGUGCUUCCAGCUGGCUCUUUGGGUGCAUUGAAACCCAGCAUGUGGGAUUUUGACAACUGAGUGGUUCUGGUUAUCUUCAAAUUUGGACUAUGAGGCUGAGCCUGAUGAGGAUCUGGCCCAUAGAACUAAAUAGUUUUCUAAACAGACUGAACUAAGUAAAUAACUAUUAGUUUAAGUUGAUUAAUAGUCCACAGACCUUUAAAUGACAAAACAAAACCUUCACAGAUAUUUGAUUCCAUACAUUUGAGUGGAAACAACCCCUAAAAUACAGAAAGACCUUCCAACAGAAUGAUUAAAAGUUAAAUAUUAUGAUGGGAAGUAGUCCAUCGAUAUCUGGAGGGCCUCAGGUCCCUAUCCUUCCCCUAGGUAUGUACUAUAGCAUAGGCAGCUUUAUUGCGAAUCCUAAUAACAUGUAUACACACUUUAAAGAACACUAAAUUUAUUUAGUUCAUAGUUAAUUAAAAUUAGCAACAUAAGGGUGAGAUUGUGAACCUGUUCGUUGCUAGGAUUAUACACCAGAUACUACAGUAGUGUUACAAGUGACCUGUAAUAAUUGAUUGGCAUCUGUAUGUCAGGCAGAUUCUUAAAGUAUACUUAAACUGGCUUAUUUCUUCAUAAAAGAGCAGUUAAAUGAAUAAUUGAAAAGAAUUAUAAAUGAAUAUAAUGGAUACCUUCACAUCUGUAUUCUGAGUUUCUUAGUAGGAUGAAUAGGAGGGGUAACCUCAAGA